CUUGUUUUUUCUUUGUUUCUGAAUGAUAUUGGCAUUGGGUCUGGAAUUCCGAGUUCAGUUAUUUACUUUCUGUAUAGUAAAACCUUGGAUUGCAGGUAACUUGCUCUGUGAGUGUUCUGCAAGACAAGCAAACAUUUCUAAUAAAUUUUAACUCGAUAAACGAGCAAUGUCUUACAAUAGGAGUAGUAGGUGACACUGUCACGUGAUCACAACUUAGCCAAUGGUCCUUCUCUCUCUCUCUCACUGUGGGAUUGUGGGUGAUUGUCUCUCAUGCUCAGAUGCUUGAUCUCAGGCCAUGGUGUUUGGCAGAAAUCAGUGGUUUUUCAGGAUGUUGAAGGUGCCCACAGCCGGCACCUAGUGUAUUUUUUGUCACUUUAAAGCACCUAUGGACAGGCCUUUGCCUUUCCAUACGAGAGUAAGCUUACAAAAACUUUGCUUCAUUCUAGGUCGUUGGAUAGGUUCUUUAUGAAAGUUGCACGAAAAGAAAAAGAUUCCAUUGAGCUAAUAGAUACCAGUGGUUCCAUUAGCGAUAGUGAAAGUCCUCCUACACGAUAACCCUCCUCUCGCUUGUCUCUCACACCAGCCACGGAGGUUUUCAAAGGUUUAAAUCCUCUCAACUGAGCAGUUCUUCCUUCAAAGAGAAUGCUGCAAGAGUCCACGAUGGACGUGAGGUGAGCGUGCGUCGGCUCCGACCUUCACCGGACUCGGAAUCUGGCCGGUCCUCUGGCCAUGGGCAGCCUCGCCUCUGCACUCAAGACAUUUUCUUCUCGGACACAAACACCUCGAGAGAGUUUCUGGCCCUUAGAGGGAAUCACGUCACACACACGAAGAGAUCAGUAAGAAAUGCUUUCAGCAGGCAGGCUUUUUGAGAACUAUCACUUCCUUAAAAAUGUAGCAUAGGCUGCCAAAAGGGGUUAUUUUUAUCUGAGGAGUCCCAUGGGCUACACCCUCCUUAAAAGGAUAGGAUAAUGAAAAUAUACCUUCCUUCUUCCUCUUUGAGGAUCUCUUUACCAACAGUAAAUGUUCUCAACUAGCCAUGAGGUACCCCUUCUGCCUAGAAAUCACCUCAGCAUGUGUGGGGCGUUAACUAAACGUGGGUGGUGAUUCAUCAUGAGUAAUAGUCGAUGCUGUGGCAUCAUCGGUUGGGAGAAUAAAAAGUCCUCCUUUUAUCA
rnacentral:lncRNA from 1 species